CUGAAACAUUGAUUCGCAUACGAUCACAGAAGUUAAGCAAUGUUGAACCUGGUCAGUACCUAGAAGGGUUACCACUUGGAAAUACUAGGUGUUGUAAG